rnacentral:lncRNA from 10 species
AGCCAAAUGUCCUCCACAGCUUUGCCCAGUGGGACACAUGGCUCCUGACAUACGUAACCCAGGAUGGGAUGCCUUGUUGGAGUCUCUCAGAUAUGGAGCAAAAUGGGCCAUGUGCAGUCAAGACGCCAUCUACCCUGGGCAGCUUGCCUAAGCCUCGAGGGACCUGCCAAUGAUGGAUCUGAGACCUCUUCUGUCCCUGGCUGCCUAUCUGCACAGUGGAGUUUCUUUGAGGCUACAUGGUGAGAGAAGAUGUCACCGCUCUGACUGACAUACAUAAUGAUGUGUGUGUGUGUGUGUGUGUGUGUGUGUGUGUGUGUUUAGUUUUAAUUUCAAGUAUGGGAAAUAUAAAGAGAUAUAAUAUUUUAAAAACCAAUGGUUUGGUGGCUGUCAAUAUUCUUUAAGACUGCAAAAGUGUUCAGAGACAGAAUUUUGAGACUAGAACACUGUAUCAGAAUUUUGAGACUGAAACAGUGUCCUGUACAUUCAGAGUUGAAGACACUCCCAUGAGCACUAGAUAUGAAUGUGGGUGGAUAGGCCAUGACAGCAAAUGGCCCUGCCUUUAUUACCUGACUCACUUGUACCACAAUAGUCCCAACAUCACUCACUCCUCAUUUAUUCUUUAGGGAACUAUUUGAACUCUUUCAGAAGACGGACUCCUCGAUAAAGCAGUAGUACUCCUGUUUCCAACAUUUCACAUUAUUGUAAGUUGCAUUACAGUGAACAGAAUUUUAUUGAAGCACAAGGGCUAUAUUUCAGGUUCUACUGAGUGUAUCAUUUUGUUUUGUCAGACACUUUUAUGGAUAAUUAUGGAUGAAAAUUUAUAAAAAAUCUAAAAGUCAUCAUUGACUCUUUUCUCGCUUAACCUGCGUAAUCAAUUGGUCGAGUCCUAUUGAUUUUUCUCCUCAAUAGCUCUCCAAUUUCUCUUCUUCUCUGUGUCUCCACCGCAUCAAUAUAGUUCAAGCAACCAUCACUCUCCCCUAAUUCAUUAGAGCAGCAUUCUACCUGUCACCAAUCCACUGGGAUGAAUUCAAAGGAACUGAUCUUAGUAUUUCAUUUCAACAAUUGUCUUCUUGAAAUACUGUUAAAAAUAUUGUCAUUUUUUGCUUUGCCCCCACUCCUGGGUGGGCCAAACUCUCAAUGAAUCAUGACAUUGAACCCUGCUUGGAAUGGGUUGUUCAGCAGUGCAUAGAAGGUGCCUGACAGCUGUGUGCAUCAAUCCAGAUCCUUUCAGUCUGUGCCUUGCACCGAGUCUGCAUACAUCUAGAUAAAAUGAAUCUGUCAGCCUACUUUGACAAUAAAAUGAUGGGGAUAUGAAAAGCUGAAUUAAAUCUAAGACCAGGUGAAUUCUGAGAGAAGUCAGGAUAGAGAAUAACCAUCAUAGAGAUAGGAAAUCUUAGACUAUUCCAAUUCUGAAUUCUAAUAAAUGUAGCUAAAAAACAUCAGAUUAAAAGUGUUUGUCAGGUAUGUGUCUUGGAACUAAAGGUAUUUUCCAUGUUAAAUAUAAUUAAAUGAUCUACAGAAUAAAAGAAUGUCUCAAAAAUAUUUAUCAAUAUUUCCUAUCAGAGAAAUGUUACUUAUAAAUAUUUAUUAUAUUUUGGAUAAUAAAUGAGUAUAAAAGGUGACUUAAGGAGUAUGUUUCUCUCUAUCAAAUUAAUAAUGUGUAAAUUAUAUAAGCAAUUGUUUAAAAAUUUUUUUUUCAAUGGAUAAAUAAAAUAUAUAUUUUUUCAAUGGAUAAAUAAAAUAUUUUAAAAGGUAAAUUAGUAACUUACACAAAUAAUCAUACUGAUUAGUUUAAGCAUUCAUUAGAAAAAUUACUUCUGAGGCUUUCAUAAAAAAAAUACUGUGUUAUUCAACAUACCUUUACAUACCAUUUAUUAUUAGUGUCAAUGAUAUAACUUUCAAUUAGACCUAGCUAUGUUCUUGAAGGACUUCAUGGUCCCUUAGCAGAACACGAGGCAAUAAUGAUCACUUUCUGGGAAAAACUACACUAGGAAAAUGUGAGAAUCUGAUGCACUAAGCUAUCCUAGCUUUUGGGAUAUGCACUGUCUAGCAUUAUCAGCAUUGUUGGUGAGAUCUCACUAACAUGCAGACGUGUGAAAAGUAAAAUCACAUUUUGUCCUAGUAGAGAUACAAAUUGGAUUUUUUUUCCCCAGUAAGUAAUCUGAAUGAAAUAUUUCUGAAAUUAAAACCUCAAAUGUAAAGGAGGAUAAAUGGGUCUUAUUUUAUUUAAUUUAUUUAUUUUUUUGUAGCCAGUUUGGAACAGAGCAGUUAGUUUAUGGCUUAAGACUGUAUAACAUCUUGAAGGACUGAUUUUCAGUAAAUGUACAUGAUAUAGGACUGUAUACAACUCUUCAAAAUACAAAUAUUUCAACACUGUCAAUUAAAUAAAACCUGCAACAAUUGAUAAGAAAAAGUCUCAUUUUAAAAAUUCCAGGUUGCGUAUCAAAGCAAGAUGCUAUACUCUUUUUUUGGAGCCUCUUCAAUUCUAAGGAGUCCUAGGGUCACUUAAUGGAACUCUACACUUAGCAAGCUGUUAAAAUUUCUUCUUCCUUAGUAACUGAGCAGCAAACGUCCUACUUGGUUUGAUCUGAGCAGCAUAAAUGAAUAUAAAAAACGAGAGGGAACAAAUCUUUAAAAGAUCUAAUAAUAUCAAAAUAUGGUUAUGCUGUACGAAAGUUAUCUAGUUCUUUAGUGAUAUGUUUUACUCCUAUUGUAAUCAAGUUAUGAAUCAUACAUCUAACUAGAUCUAUGUAAACUGGUAAAUAUAAUAAAUGGUUUUAC